rnacentral:rRNA from 1 species
AUUGAACGCUGGCGGCAGGCCUAACACAUGCAAGUCGAGCGUGUGAAGGGGGCUUUCUCCUGUCUGCAGCGGCCGACGGGGGAGUAAUGCCUAGGAAUCUGCCUGCCAUUGAGGGAUGACGUCCGUUAGCGGGCGCUAAUACCUCAUACGUCCUGAUUUUGAAACGCGGGGUUCUUUGGACCACACGCUAUUUGAUGACCCUAGGUCGUAUUAGCGAGUUGGUUGGGUAAAGGCCUACCAAGGCGAUGAUCCGUAACUGGUCUGAGAGGGUGAUCAGUCACACUGGAACUGAGACACGGUCCAGACUCCUACGGGAGGCAGCAGUGGGGAAUAUUGGACAAUGGGCGAAAGCCUGAUGCAGCAAUGCCGCGUGUGUGAAGAAGGUCUUCGGAUUGUAAAGCACUUUAAUUUGGGAGGAAGGGCAGUAAAUUAAAACCUUGCUGUUUUGACGGUACCUACAGAGAAAGCAACGGCUAACUACGUG